rnacentral:rRNA from 1 species
AGUGAACGCUGGCGGUAGGCCUAACACAUGCAAGUCGAACGGCAGCACAGUAAGAGCUUGCUCUUACGGGUGGCGAGUGGCGGACGGGUGAGGAAUACAUCGGAAUCUACUCUUUCGUGGGGGUUAACGUAGGGAAACUUACGCUAAUACCGCAUACGACCUACGGGUGAAAGCAGGGGAUCUUCGGACCUUGCGCGAUUGAAUGAGCCGAUGUCGGAUUAGCUGGUUGGCGGGGCAAAGGGCCACCAAGGCGACGAUCCGUAGAUGGUCUGAGAGGAUGAUCACCCACAUUGGAACGUGAACAGCGUCCCGGGUACUAAGGGACGGCGCAGAGGGGAAUGGUGGGCAAUAGGCGGAAACCUGAUCCAACCGUCCCGCGUGGGUGAAGAAGGCGUUCGGGUUGUAAAGCCCUUUUGUUGGGAAAGAAAAGCAGCAGGUUAAUACCCCGCUGUUCUGACGGUACCCAAAGAAUAAGCACCGGCUAACUUCGUG